UGGCCCGUUCUUGGGGCCCGAGUUGUAAUUUGUAGAGGAUGCUUCGGGCAAGACAGCGGUCUAAUUCGCUUGGAACAGUGAGUCACAGAGGGUGAGAGCCCCGUCUGGGAUCGCCUGCCGCGCCCGGGUGAAGCUCCUUCGACGAGUCGAGUUGUUUGGGAAUGCAGCUCUNAAUGGGUGGUAAAUUUCAUCUAAAGCUAAAUACCGGCCAGAGACCGAUAGCGCACAAGUAGAGUGAUCGAAAGAUGAAAAGCACUUUGAAAAGAGAGUUAAACAGUAUGUGAAAUUGUUGAAAGGGAAGCGCUUGCCAUCAGACUUGUGGGAGGCGGUUCCCCCGAUCAGACGAUCGGGCUACUCCACCUCCCUCGGGCCAGCAUCGGUUCGGGCGGCCGGUGAAAGAUCUCGGGAAUGUAUCUACCCUAGGGUCGACUUAUAGCCCGGGGUGCAAUGCGGCCCGCCCGGACUGAGGAACGCGCUUCGGCUCGGAUGUUGGCGUAAUGGUGGCAAGCGGCCCGUCUUGAAACACGGACCAAGGAGUCUAACAUCUGUGCGAGUGUUUGGGUGUCAAACCCGGGCGCGGAAUGAAAGUGAACGGAGGUAAGAACCCCCUCGUGGGGUGCACUAUCGACCGAUCCUGAAGUCUUCGGAUGGAUUUGAGUAAGAGCACAGCUGUUGGGACCCGAAAGAUGGUGAACUAUGCCUGAAUAGGGUGAAGCCAGAGGAAACUCUGGUGGAGGCUCGCAGCGGUUCUGACGUGCAAAUCGAUCGUCA
rnacentral:rRNA from 1 species